rnacentral:rRNA from 12 species
GAUAAUAAAAUUGAAUACAAGUAAAAUAGAACAACAUGAAUAAAAAAUGAAACAAAAUAAAGUCAAAAAUUGGAAACAAAACAUACCAUAUCAGGCGCAUUUCCUUCU